AUUUAAAUAGCUUAAUAAGAGUAUAAUAUUGAAGAUAUUAGGGUGAUUAUAAAAUCUUUAAAUA
rnacentral:tRNA from 1 species